AGUUGCGAACGGGUGAGUAACGCGUAGGUAACCUGCCUUGUAGCGGGGGAUAACUAUUGGAAACGACUGCUAAUACCGCAUAAGCCCACGGAUCCGCAUGGAUCUGCGGGAAAAGGAUUUAUUUGCUUCAGGAUGGACUCGCGUCCAAUUAGCUAGUUGGUGAGGUAACGGCCCACCAAGGCGACGAUUGGUAGCCGGACUGAGAGGUUGAACGGCCACAUUGGGACUGAGACACGGCCCAGACUCCUACGGGAGGCAGCAUG
rnacentral:rRNA from 1 species